GCUCAGAUUGAACGCUGGCGGCAGGCCUAACACAUGCAAGUCGAGCGGCAGCGGGAGGAAGCUUGCUUCCUCGCCGGCGAGCGGCGGACGGGUGAGUAAUGUCUGGGGAUCUGCCCGAUGGAGGGGGAUAACCACUGGAAACGGUGGCUAAUACCGCAUAACGUCGCAAGACCAAAGUGGGGGACCUUCGGGCCUCACACCAUCGGAUGAACCCAGAUGGGAUUAGCUAGUAGGUGGGGUAAUGGCUCACCUAGGCGACGAUCCCUAGCUGGUCUGAGAGGAUGACCAGCCACACUGGAACUGAGACACGGUCCAGACUCCUACGGGAGGCAGCAGUGGGGAAUAUUGCACAAUGGGCGCAAGCCUGAUGCAGCCAUGCCGCGUGUGUGAAGAAGGGUUGUAAAGCACUUUCAGCGAGGAGGAAGGUGGUGAGCUUAAUACGUUCAUCAAUUGACGUUACUCGCAGAAGAAGCACCGGCUAACUCCGUGCCAGCAGCCGCGGUAAUACGGAGGGUGCAAGCGUUAAUCGGAAUUACUGGGCGUAAAGCGCACGCAGGCGGUUUGUUAAGUCAGAUGUGAAAUCCCCGAGCUUAACUUGGGAACUGCAUUUGAAACUGGCAAGCUAGAGUCUCGUAGAGGGGGGUAGAAUUCCAGGUGUAGCGGUGAAAUGCGUAGAGAUCUGGAGGAAUACCGGUGGCGAAGGCGGCCCCCUGGACGAAGACUGACGCUCAGGUGCGAAAGCGUGGGGAGCAAACAGGAUUAGAUACCCUGGUAGUCCACGCCGUAAACGAUGUCGAUUUGGAGGUUGUGCCCUUGAGGCGUGGCUUCCGGAGCUAACGCGUUAAAUCGACCGCCUGGGGAGUACGGCCGCAAGGUUAAAACUCAAAUGAAUUGACGGGGGCCCGCACAAGCGGUGGAGCAUGUGGUUUAAUUCGAUGCAACGCGAAGAACCUUACCUACUCUUGACAUCCAGAGAACUUAGCAGAGAUGCUUUGGUGCCUUCGGGAACUCUGAGACAGGUGCUGCAUGGCUGUCGUCAGCUCGUGUUGUGAAAUGUUGGGUUAAGUCCCGCAACGAGCGCAACCCUUAUCCUUUGUUGCCAGCGGUUAGGCCGGGAACUCAAAGGAGACUGCCAGUGAUAAACUGGAGGAAGGUGGGGAUGACGUCAAGUCAUCAUGGCCCUUACGAGUAGGGCUACACACGUGCUACAAUGGCGUAUACAAAGAGAAGCGAACCUGCGAAGGCAAGCGGACCUCAUAAAGUACGUCGUAGUCCGGAUUGGAGUCUGCAACUCGACUCCAUGAAGUCGGAAUCGCUAGUAAUCGUAGAUCAGAAUGCUACGGUGAAUACGUUCCCGGGCCUUGUACACACCGCCCGUCACACCAUGGGAGUGGGUUGCAAAAGAAGUAGGUAGCUUAACCUUCGGGAGGGCGCUUACCACUUUGUGAUUCAUGACUGGGGUGAAGUCGUAACAAGGUAACCGUAGGGGAACCUG
rnacentral:rRNA from 1 species